UAAUACAAAGAUUGCCACUCUUUUCCCUAAUGACAGUUUCCAAAAUAUUCAUAGACUUUCUUUCCUGUUAUUUUCAAUAUUUUAAUUUAUUUUUAUGAGUUUUUAAAUAUACUUUAAUUUGUUCUGUCUCUCAUCAAUAUUAACUUCUUUAUUUGGAACACAUGUAAGUAAUGGAAUUUGCUUAACUAAUAGAUUUUUUUUUAAAGUAUAGUACCUCUUGAAUUUUGUAAUGGGGCCAGGUUCUGUUAUUGAUUUUUUUGCCAAGUGCAUAGACUAUUAAUAUGCUUUUACUCUUUCAAAGAAGUAUAAGUUGCUCUGUUGCAUUUUUAAAACUAGAACCAUAAACUUUAAUUAAUGGCUUUAGCUCUGCACAUGUAUUAUAAUAAUGAUCAUAAUGUUUUGCUGCAAGACAUAUUGUACUACUCAGAAUAUUUUCCAUAUUUCCCCAGUGUGUACUUUUCAUUCACAAUAUAACACAGAGCAAAGAUAAUAAAGAUUUAAUAUGGAAACAAGUUUAAAAUUAAUGUGUCUCUUAGGUAAUACAGGCUAUAUCUAUUCAUUCUAAUUUAUUUUAGGAUACCAGAAAUACCAUAUUCCGUAUUUUUAUGUUUCACUACAACUGCUUCUUGAGUGAAGCACGUAUAAAAAUGUAACAAUAUAGACUUAUCAAUAAUUGUUUGUUGCUAACAUAGAAAUAUCCUGAAGAUACUAUUUUCUGAAUUGUCAUUAAAAUGAGUGAGUCAGCAGUAGACAUGAAACCAGAGACUUCCCAAGAUGAUAACGUGUCUUAUUUUUGUGCUUCUUCAUUUAGCUUUUUCCUUUGCCCCUCUGCCAAAGCUAAAGUCUUGCUUAAUUUUGUGACAUUUCUACAGAACAGUGAUAUCAGUUACUUCUUCAAAAUUAUUGAUUUUAUAAAAUCUUAGAACAUCAGUGUUGAAUCUAUUGGACUGUCUAUACAGGUUAUAAGAAUAUGUAAUCUCAUCAGUACUAUGGCUCCUGUUGUUCAAGAUUUGUGCAUUUUCUAUUUAUAUGUUCAGUUGUGUAGUCAGACUCAGAAAUCAGAUGAUUACUUCAUUUGUGAAGUCAUCUUGUAUGGGAAUUACCCAGUUAUGAAUUUCCAAGGAAAUUAUUUGUGGCAAAUGAUUGACUUGUAUCUUCCAGAGACUUUGCUUCCACCAUGGAUAUUGGUGCCUCUUGCAUGUCUCAUGAUGCUUGUCAUGGUCCAUACUGGGGGAAUUCUGUGACUGACCACGAAUGAAACAAUCAGUGUCAUUUUUACCUCCUUUAUUUUUUAAAAUUAGACUCUAUAUGAAUUACUAAACAUAUAUGAAUUACUAGAUCUACUGUGAAAUAGCUAUGUUGUUCACUCUUUCACAUUGUAUUUUCUUACCAAGUUUUGGGAAUAGGCUAUAGAGAUGGAUCUUAAGAGAAAGUAAUGGUUGAACAGUAGUCAUCACAGUGUUAUAAACUUCUUUAAUGUCUUUAUGUGCUACAGUCACAAACGAUAUUUGAACUUAAUCCAGCGCAAUUUCCAUCUUGUUCAACUGAGAAAAUGGCUCUUGUGGGAAUUCUUUUAACUGAUUCCACCUGCCACAGGGUAUUAGCAGAUUAGAGCAAACAUUGGGAGGUGCCCUGUGUCAUCUAAGUGAACAAUGACACAUUUGUUUGCUUUUCUACCGUCAAGGAUAUUUGAAGGUCGACUUUUGAACAGAGUGGUUUGUGAACAUAACAAUAGCCACAUACUUGUGUGGAAGUAAACAGAUACUUGACCAAAAGAAGGGUCUUUCAACCACAUAACUACAAAUAGGAAAGAAAACCUAACAUGAGAGAUCUGCUUUUUCAGUGUGCCCACUGCUUCACCCACCCCUAGACAUCUCCUGCUCAGAAAGGCUCUGUCUUAGAAAUACCCAGGAUCCCACUGGAGCUGUGAACACUGGUCAGCAAUCCUAUCCUGUAUCUGAUACAGGAGAAAAUCCAAAAAAGGAAGUGUUGAGAGAAGUGUUUUUUCUUUCCUCACCUUUGCAUUCUAUAAAGGACUGAAAUGUGCACAUUUCUUGAUGCUGUUCCUACACUGAUAAAUGACAACACAAUAGUGCUUAAAUCAUUAUUCCUGAAGUUUCUCAUCAUAAAAUUUUCCCUCCACUGCAUGGUAGGGCUCUGCAGAAAUCAUACAACUGAGGAUUGCUCGGACCCAGGAGUUCAAGGCUGCAGUGAGCUGUGAUUGCACCACUGUACCCGAGCCUGGGUGACAGAGUGAGAUGUUGUCUAAAAAAAAUCAUGUAACUGCCCUUAAUUUCCUUUUCUAUAAAAUGAAAAGAGUAAUAAGAGGCUCUUGCUCAUGUAAUAGAAUAUUUUAUACACAUUUAAGAAAUAGUCAUUUAAGAAAUGAACCCUAUGGGCAGACAGUUUUUAAGAUCCAUAAAUAUCACAUUAUUCUUGAUACCCAUAAUAUUAAAUGAAAGAAAAUGAUUUUUCUUUUCACUUCUUGAAGAAAAAAGUAAUUAAAAAAAAAGUUGAUAUGCCCUGACAAUGGUCAGAAGGCACUCAAAAAAAUUGGUCUGUGAGAAUUGGUAUUAGGGCAAAAAUAAAAUAGAUGUUUAAAAUGAGUGGGUAGUUUGUCAGAGGGUUGAGUAGGCAAUCUAAGUGCUAAUAUUAGAGGGAUGUGGCUAAUUCCGUGUGCCUCCAGAAAAAGGAAACUUCACUGGGGUUUGGUCAUUGAAGAAGAAACAAUUUUUAACAGUUGUGUCAUGCCUCAUUUUAUAGUUCAUUAAAAAAAAAAAAAGCUCAUAGACCAGCCUGGCCAGCAUGGUGAAACCUCGUCUCUACUAAAAAUACAAAAAUUAGCCUGGCGUGGUGGCAGGCGCCUGUAAUCCCAGCUACUCGGGAAGCUUGAGGCAGGAGAAUCGCUUGAACCCGGAAGGCGGAGGUUGCGGUGAGCCGAGAUGGCGCCACUGCGCUCCAGCAAAAAAAAAAAAAUAAUAAUAAAAUAAAAAUAAAUAAAUAAAAUAAACCCUCAAACUUAAAAUAAGUGAAGACUCGGGAAUAAAAAUCUCCAUAUGAAUAAGCAUUCAACCCUGUACAGAAACAAAAACCUUCAAUGACCUGAGUCCCGUCUUCUCUCUAAGGGAGAGUUUUCCAGAGGUCCGGCAGAGGAGAUGUGGCCAAGCUUCAUCUGGGCGCAGGUGCAGCCACGCUUCCACAGGGAAAGAACAAUGUCUGGAGUGAGCCAGCAGUGGUUUGGCGAACCCCAUGGCGACUGCCAGUCGUUUGCAGGCUUUUGUCUAUUCUUUGUGUACUGUUUGACUCAGCUUGAGCCAAAAGAAUCAGCAGCUAAAGCUGGAGCCUACCUUUUUGCAGAGAGCACAGUGUCUGAUGUUUCUGGACAUUUUUGCAACGUGUAACCGCUACCCUGAGCUCCUGCUGCCUUAUUAGCACUUCUACAUCAAAGUACAAGACUCUAAAACGGUACCUUCUACACACUAUAUUCCCAUUUAUGAGGCAAGCAGACAAUGUUUUCUGACAGCUGGCUGUCCAUCUGGUGUUUGAUGUGUGGCAGAAAAGCACCGUGGGGUAAUAAGGAAGAUGGAUGUUUCUCUGAGGUGACAACUCAGUGUUCCUGAGUGCAGACUCCUUUGGGCUUCCUGCCCUUCUGCCCUGCAUGCUGCCUCUUUGCACAGGAUGCCAUCCUACAGGAGAUUUUGCUCACUCCUGAGCUAGAGAAAGGUCAGAAAGAGAAUGAACAGCAGCAGCAGCAGAGUCAAGAGAAAGAAGACAUGGCCAGAAGUCACAGGACAAAGACAGCCUCUGUUUCAUCCUCCCCAAGGCUGAAGUGAAGCCUAAUUCUACACCCCUUGAAUAUGGACCACUUAGUGACUGGCUUCUAAUGAACAGAAAGUAGUGGAAGUGUAACCUCCCAGGCUAGGUAAUAAAAAUAAUCGCUUCUGCCUGCCUGCCUGCCUGCCUGUCUCUCUCUCUCCUCUCUCUUCUCUCUCUUUCUC